GUAUAAUUAAUAGGCAGCUGAUAAAAUUCCACUAACAAGGAAUAUCGGUUUCCUGUGAACUAUGUCGAUUUUUAUUAGUUAUUGGAGUUUACUCCUUUAGAAUCGAUUUACAUAUAUAGGCCCGGGGUAUGAAAAUUAUGGGGACCAAAAUCGUACUAGCAUGUCACACGAAAUGCGUUAUGCGCCUGAUUGCGCAUGUCACACGAAAUGCGUUAUCGCAGGUGACGCCGGGCUGCUGCGCCGGCAGUCCGCCACAAAGCCUCGUACUGAUCGCGCGUUUCUCUCAUUAUUGUAUUUUCAUAUAUUUGUUAGUCGUUUGUUUUGUGUCUCGUUAAUUUGUUAAUAAUCUGUAGUGUAUCGUGUUGUCGUAAUAUAGAACUAUUUCUCGUAUUGUUUCGUUUAAUUUUUUAUAUCCAGUAAACUCCAGUCGUGCGUCGGAGCGGACACACACACUUUUUUUUUUAACCGCUAGAUGUCGCAGUGCCCACGACUCAGUUACGCUCGUAACGCGAAACGAGCAUGACGUCGAGGGUUAAAAAGUAUUUUGCAAUUUUUGUGGUUGCAGUCAUCGUCAUAGCGUGUAUAUGUAUCGGUGUGUUGCUGAUUAAAGGUGUGAAAAUGGAAGACGUUACAAUUAAACCGAAUUCUGCACAGAAUGUAAGUGAAGAACAAUCCGCUGCCUCACAAACUGGACGAGAAGGGACAUACAAACAUGAAGGCGAAUCACACAGAGUGGAUUUAAGCGGCCAACAUAUCAAUGGCGACGUUAUAAUAUCCUGGCACAAUAAUGAAACAGCCAAAAAUUCUCCUCAAGAAAACGAAACAAUACCUCCGUAGUUUUCUUAAUGGACCCAAAGCGUUAAAUGCUCAGAGUCCUUGCUCCUUGUUAAUCCUUCGCUGGGAUAAGGAAAUUAUAUCUAUACUAAUAUUAUAAAGAGGAAAGAUUUGUUUGUUUGUUUGUUUCGAAUAGGCUCCGAAACUACUGGACCGAUUUGAAAAAUUCUUUUUCCAUUAGAAGCCGACAUUGUCCCUGAUGAACAUAGGCUACUUUUUUUUUUUUUUUUUUUUGAUUCAUGUAUGUUUUAAUGUUUCCGAAGCGAAGCGAGGGCGGGUCGCUAGUUUACCAUAAAUUAAAUUACAAUCUUACAAAUAAAUGUGUGUGAAAAUAAAA